GACAGAGGGUGCAAACGUUGUUCGGAAUUACUGGGCGUAAAGCGUGUGUAGGUGGCUGCGUAAGUCGGAUGUGAAAGCCCUGGGCUCAACUCAGGAAGUGCACUCGAUACUGCGUAGCUCGAGUACCGGAGAGGUUGGUGGAAUUCUCGGUGUAGAGGUGAAAUUCGUAGAUAUCGGGAAGAACACCUGAGGCGAAGGCGGCUAUCUGGCGGUGCACUGACGCUGAUGCGCGAAAGCGUGGGGAGCAAACAGG
rnacentral:rRNA from 1 species